AUGUCACUGGUCCAGCCCUCUGGGACUGACUGCCAAAUCAAAUAGCCCUCGCCGGCUUGGCGCUGAGCGUGAGAAACCCGAGUUGGAGUUUGAACCGGGGAGCGCACGGACAAAAGCAAAGAUCAUGUCGGGCGUUAUCGGUGGGGUGCUUUGCCGCCGCUUGGCCAGGAAACAGAUUUUAAUGCAGAAGGCGAAUAUCUACGGAAAACCGCCGAAAGAGAAAAUCAGCCCUUUGGCGACUGUUGUGUGCUUAUCCGUUUUCGCAACGAGCCUUCUUGGACCAGCGGGCUGGAUUCUACAUCAUCUGCCGGAAUAUCGCAAAAAGUGAUGAGAAAGCACAAUGAAGCCCUUUGAUCGAGGUCCGAAUGCAUUCAGACCCCGCGGUUAUUUUUAGAAUCUGAAGCUGAAAAGACUCUGUAGGGAUAACAAUGCUGUAGUGUAAAUCUCAAUGAUCUCCUGCGCCUUGCGAUUUGAGCGAGGUGUCUUCCUUUGUGUUGUUUUUCGCGGUUUCUGUAUGUUAAAUAAAACCUCGCCAAGAGUUACUGCAA